UACGGAGGGUGCAAGCGUUAUCCGGAUUCACUGGGCGUAAAGCGCACGUAGGCGGAUGUGCCAGUCAGGGGUGAAAUCCCGGAGCUCAACUCCGGAACUGCCUCUGAUACAGCACGUCUUGAGUUCGAGAGAGGUGGGUGGAAUUCCUAGUGUAGAGGUGAAAUUCGUAGAUAUUAGGAAGAACACCGGUGGCGAAGGCGGCCCACUGGCUCGAUACUGACGCUGAGGUGCGAAAGCGUGGGGAGCAAACAGG
rnacentral:rRNA from 1 species